rnacentral:rRNA from 1 species
AACGAACGCUGGCGGCAUGCCUAACACAUGCAAGUCGAACGAGACCUUCGGGUCUAGUGGCGCACGGGUGCGUAACGCGUGGGAACCUGCCCUUAGGCUCGGAAUAACUCCCCGAAAGGGGUGCUAAUACCGGAUAAUGUCCUCGGACCAAACAUUUAUCGUCUUUGGAUGGGCCCGCGUUGUAUUAGCUAGGUGGUAGGGUAAAAGCCUACCAAGGCGACGAUCCAUAGCUGGUCUGAGAGGAAGAACAGCGACACUGAGACUGAGAUGCGGCCCAGACUCCUACAGGAGGCAGGAGUGGGGAAUAUUGGACAAUCGGCGAAAGCCUGAUCCAGCAAUGCCGCGUGAGUGAUGAAGGCCUUAGAGUUGUAAAGCUCUUUUACCCGGGAUGAUAAUGACAGUACCGAAAGAAUAAGCUCCGGCUAACUCCGUG